rnacentral:rRNA from 1 species
UGGGGAAUUUUGGACAAUGGGCGAAAGCCUGAUCCAGCAAUGCCGCGUGUGUGAAGAAGGCCUUCGGGUUGUAAAGCACUUUUGUCCGGAAAGAAAUGGCUCUGGUUAAUACCUGGGGUCGAUGACGGUACCGGAAGAAUAAGGACCGGCUAACUACGUGCCAGCAGCCGCGGUAAUACGUAGGGUCCAAGCGUUAAUCGGAAUUACUGGGCGUAAAGCGUGCGCAGGCGGUUGUGCAAGACCGAUGUGAAAUCCCCGAGCUUAACUUGGGAAUUGCAUUGGUGACUGCACGGCUAGAGUGUGUCAGAGGGGGGUAGAAUUCCACGUGUAGCAGUGAAAUGCGUAGAGAUGUGGAGGAAUACCGAUGGCGAAGGCAGCCCCCUGGGAUAACACUG